GGGGGUGUACAGGUUUCGACGGCGCGGAGACGGCAGGGAAAAGCAAGUGGCAGGGCCGGCUGCCUCAACAACGCAAAAAACAAUAAAUGCUAACACUCAAAAAGCUGCAACUCCGGUUGCGCUCGCCGCGUAAACAAUAACGCGGUCGCCGCUCCCGCGUUUACUGUCGGCCCGGGACGCGGCGUCAACUAAAGACAGUCAACCUCUCUCCGCCUUGGCUGCGGCGCCGAGAAGCUCUUUUGCAGCCGGACGGCCGGACGCUUUGUUAUUUGCGCGUCCGAAUCCGCGACUUCAAGCAAAAAACUAAACUUGUAGAAAGCCCGGUCUAUCCGUGUCGGAAGGGAGUUCGAUUCUCCCCACCUCCACCA
rnacentral:tmRNA from 1 species